GAUGAACGCUGGCGGCGUGCCUAAUACAUGCAAGUCGAGCGAACGGACGAGAAGCUUGCUUCCCUGAUGUUAGCGGCGGACGGGUGAGUAACACGUGGAUAACCUACCUAUAAGACUGGGAUAACUUCGGGAAACCGGAGCUAAUACCGGAUAAUAUUUUGAACCGCAUUGUUCAAAAGUGAAAGACGGUCUUGCUGUCACUAAUAGAUGGAUCCGCGCUGCAUUAGCUAGUUGGUAAGGUAACGGCUUACCAAGGCAACGAUGCAUAGCCGACCUGAGAGGGUGGUCGGCCACACUGGAACUGAGACACGGUCCAGACUCCUACGGGAGGCAGCAGUAGGGAAUCUUCCGCGAUGGGCGAAAGCCGGACGGAGCAACGCCGCGUGAGUGAUGAAGGUCUUCGGAUCGUAAAACUCUGUUAUUAGGGAAGAACAUAUGUGUAUGUAACUGUGCACAUCUUGACGGUACCUAAUCAGAAAGCCACGGCUAACUACGUG
rnacentral:rRNA from 1 species